rnacentral:rRNA from 1 species
CCUACGGGGGGCAGCAGUAGGGAAUAUUUCACAAUGGGCGAAAGCCUGAUGGAGCAAUGCCGCGUGAAGGAUGAAGGUCUUAUAGAUUGUAAAAUUCUUUUAUCUGGGAAGAAAAACUCAAGUAGGAAAUGACUUUAGUCUGCCUGUACCAUUUGAAUAAGUAUCGGCUAAUUAUGUGCCAGCGGCCGCGGUAAUACGUAGGAUGCAAGCGUUAUCUGGAUUUACUGGGGGAAAAACGGGCGCAGGCGGGUUUACAAGUUAGGUGUGAAAGGCUUGUGCUAAACGAAAGAUUGUAUCAGAAACUGUCAAUCUAGAGUGGAGUAGAGGGUAGUGGAAUUCCAUGUGGAGCGGUGAAAUGCGUAGAUAUAUGGAAGAACACCAGUGGCGAAGGCGAGAACUUGGGCUAUCACUGACGCUUAGGCUCGAAAGUGUGGGGAGCAAAUAGGAUUAGAUACCCCAGUAGUC